rnacentral:rRNA from 1 species
UACAGAGGUCCCAAGCGUUGUUCGGAUUCAUUGGGCGUAAAGGGUGCGUAGGUGGCGCCGUAAGUGGGGUGUGAAAUCCCGGGGCUUAACCCCGGGACUGCAUUCCAUACUGCGGUGCUUGAGGACUGGAGAGGAGACUGGAAUUUACGGUGUAGCGGUGAAAUGCGUAGAUAUCGUAAGGAAGACCAGUGGCGAAGGCGGGUCUCUGGACAGUUCCUGACGCUGAGGCACGAAGGUCAGGGGAGCAAACGGG